GGUGCGGAAUAGCCCAGGGAAACUUGGAGUAAUACCGUAUACGCCCGAAAGGGGAAUGAAUUUCGCUAUAGGAUGGGCCCGCGUAGGAUUAGCUAGUUGGUGAGGUAAUGGCUCACCAAGGCGACGAUCCUUAGCUGGUUUGAGAGAACGACCAGCCACACUGGGACUGAGACACGGCCCAGACUCCUACGGGAGGCAGCAGUGGGGAAUAUUGGACAAUGGGCGCAAGCCUGAUCCAGCCAUGCCGCGUGAGUGAUGAAGGCCUUAGGGUUGUAAAGCUCUUUUGGCGGGGACGAUAAUGACGGUACCCGCAGAAUAAGUCCCGGCUAACUUCGUGCCAGCAGCCGCGGUAAUACGAAGGGGACUAGCGUUGUUCGGAAUCACUGGGCGUAAAGCGCACGUAGGCGGAUAUGUCAGUCAGGGGUGAAAUCCCGGGGCUCAACCUCGGAACUGCCUUUG
rnacentral:rRNA from 1 species